rnacentral:rRNA from 1 species
GGUCAAGAUAUUAAGGGCUAGCGGGGGAUGCCUAGGCGCGCAGAGGCGAUGAAGGACGUGGCAAGCUGCGAAAAGCUUCGGGGAGGUGCUAAGCAACCUUUGAGCCGAAGAUGUCCGAAUGGGGAAACCCAAUAAUCCCGUGCUGAAUUCAUAGGCACGUGGAAGCGAACCCGGGGAAGUGAACCAUCUCAGUACCCGGAGGAAUAGAAAUCAAAAGAGACUCCGUCAGUAGCGGCGAGCGAACGCGGACCAGGGCAAACCGACGGGAUUCGUCCCGUCGGGGUUGUAGGACUCCAACAUGGGACCGUCGAAGUUAGCAGAAGCACCUGGAAUGGUGCCCGAUACAGGGUGACAGGCCCGUAUGCGACAACGGAAACGGCCUUAGGAUGUUCCUGAGUACCACAGGGCACGUGAAACCCGGUGGGAAUCUGGGAGGACCACCUUCCAACCCUAAGUACUCCUGCGCGACCGAUAGUGAACAAGUACCGUGAGGGAAAGGUGAAAAGUACCCCGAUUAGGGGAGUGAAAUAGUACCUGAAACCGCUAGCUUACAAGCCGUUCGAGGGCUAUGUUUCAAGCCUGAGAGCGUUCCUUUUGAAUGAUGAGUCCGCGAGUUACGGUUCGUCGCAAGGUGAAAGCCGAAGGGAAACCGAGUGCUAACUGUGCGUCGAGUGGCGGGCCGUAGACCCGAAGCGCUGUGAUCUACACAUGGCCAGGAUGAAGCGCGGGUAAAACUGCGUGAAGGUCCGGAUCCACCGAAGUUGAAAAUUCGGGGAAUGAGCUGUGUGUAGGGGUGAAAGGCUAAUCAAACUGCGUGAUAGCUGGUUCUCCCCGAAAGAUAUUUAGGUAUCGUCUCGAGUCAUUCACUGCCGGGGGUAGAGCACCGAACGGGUAAGGGGCCUCACCGGGUUACCAAACCUAAUCGAACUCCGAAUACCGGCAAGUGUUACCUCGGGAAGCAGGCUGCGGGAGAUAAGUUUCGUAGCCGAGAGGGAAAGAGCCCAGAUCGCCGGCUAAGGUCCCCAAAUCUGUGCUAAGUGGCAAACGAUGUGGGUUUGCCCAGACAACCAGGAGGUUGGCCUAGAAGCAGCCAUCCUUUAAAGAAAGCGUAAUAGCUCACUGGUCAAGUGAACCUGCGCGGAAAAUAUAACGGGGCUCAAGCACAGUACCGAAGCCGCGGGUUCCCGAAAGGGAGCGGUAGGGGAGCAUCGAAGACUGUCGAAGGUCGACCGCGAGGACGGCUGGAGGUCCUUCGAGGGCAAAUGCGGACAUGAGUAGCGAUAAAACGGGUGAGAAACCCGUUCGCCGGAAGCCUAAGGUUUCCUGGGCCAGGUUCAUCCUCCCAGGGUUAGUCGGGUCCUAAGCCGAGGCCUUCGGGCGUAGGCGAUGGGAAGCAGGUGAAUAUUCCUGCACUGCCGAGUUGGCGGAGAAGCCAGCAGGGACGGAGAAGGGUAGGUCGGCCGGUUCGCCGGUACAAGCACGUAGGGAGUCGCAUACGAUCAAAAGGUGCGGCAAUCCCGAGAUGUGAUGUGACUCCAACGCUACGGCUGCGGAGGAACCGAUUGAUCCCAUGCUUCCAAGAAAAGCUGCGGGUGGAGCUGUCUCGGCAUCCGUACCGCAAACCGACACAGGUAGGCAGGUGGAGAACACUAAGGCGCUUGAGAGAACUCUGGUGAAGGAACUCUGCAAAUUGACACCGUAACUUCGGGAUAAGGUGUGCCCUGGCUGGUGAAGAGGCUUGCCCUCGGAGCUGGCUGGGGUCGCAGCUAAGCGGGGAUAGCGACUGUUUACCAAAAACACAGGCUUCUGCUAACUCGAAAGAAGAUGUAUAGGAGCUGACUCCUGCCCGGUGCCGGAAGGUUAAGGGGACUGGUUAGCGCAAGCGAAGCCACGAACCGAAGCCCCGGUAAACGGCGGCCGUAACUAUAACGGUCCUAAGGUAGCGAAAUUCCUUGGCGGGUAAGUUCCGUCCUGCACGAAUGGAGUAACGACUUUCCCACUGUCUCCACCAGAGACUCAGCGAAAUUGAACUCGCAGUGAAGAUACUGCGUUCCCGCAGACGGACGGAAAGACCCCAUGAACCUUCACUGCAACUUGGCACUGACACUCGGGAUAGACUGCGUAGGAUAGGUGGGAGGCGACGAUACCGUCCUUCCGGGGGCGGAGAAGCCAACCUUGAAAUACCACCCUGUCUGUUCUGAGUGUCUAACCGCUGACCGUGAUCCGGUUACGGGACAAUGUCUGGUGGGCAGUUUGACUGGGGCGGUCGCCUCCCAAAAGGUAACGGAGGCGCGCGAAGGUUCCCUCAGCCUGAUUGGAAACCAGGCGCAGAGUGCAAUGGCACAAGGGAGCUUGACUGCGAGACUGGCAGGUCGAGCAGGUACGAAAGUAGGUCAUAGUGAUCCGGUGGUUCCAUGUGGAAGGGCCAUCGCUCAACGGAUAAAAGGUACUCUGGGGAUAACAGGCUGAUCUCCCCCAAGAGCUCACAUCGACGGGGAGGUUUGGCACCUCGAUGUCGGCUCAUCACAUCCUGGGGCUGAAGUAGGUCCCAAGGGUUCGGCUGUUCGCCGAUUAAAGUGGUACGCGAGCUGGGUUCAGAACGUCGCGAGACAGUUCGGUCCCUAUCCUCUGUGGGCGUAGGACACUUGAAAGGGAGCUUUUCUUAGUACGAGAGGACCGGAAAGGACGCACCUCUGGUGAACCAGUUGUCAUGAGGGCAUCGCUGGGUAGCUAAGUGCGGAAAGGAUAACCGCUGAAAGCAUCUAAGCGGGAAGCCCCCCCUGAGAUAAGGUGUCCCGGGCUUUUGCCCCUAAAGGGUCGUCGGAGACUACGACGUUGAUAGGCUGGGUGUGUAAGUGGUGCAAGCCAUUGAGCUAACCAGUACUAAUCGCCCGUGAGGCUUGACCAU